CUUUUUGGAAUUAAGCGUAAACUUACAUUUUAAGUCAAUAUUGGGAAUAUUGGAUUUUUUUCACGAUGGUAAGGCUUUAGUCUUGCUAGUUUUUGGAGAUAUUUUGACAUUUCAUUACAUUUAGCAGACACUUUUAUACAAAGCCACUUACAGUUGUGUUGCAUGUGUUUUCUAAAUAUUUCAAUUUUCCUCCAUUACUAUUUAUAGGAUCCUGGCCUGUUUGAGGGAGACGAAUAUGCUGCCCUGGUGACCGAGUGUAAAGAAGGGGGCCAGAAAGAGGGCCUGAUGCUGGACAUGCAUGAAGAGCUGUACAACUGAUUCACAAGUCAGGUCAUCAGAAACCUCAAUGUGGUUCUCAACCUGAACACUGAGGACCUGAAGGACAGAGCUGCCACCUCUCCUGCCCUCUUCAGCAGGUGUGUGCUGAACUGGUUUGGAGACAGAAGCUCUUUACCAGGUCAGUAAGAGACCCAGGUCUAGAGAGACCCAAGUACAAGGUGCCAGACUACAUGCCCAUUGUCUACGACAAACUGGCCCAGCCACCGUCUAAUCCUGAUGCUGAUGUCAAAGGCUGUGUGUGUGUACAUCAGACACUCCAUCAGCUGUACCCGGCUCAGUGACAAGAUUGGGGAGUUGGAAGGAUGGAUUUCUACACUAUAUCAGAUCCAGGAAGAGGAGCGGUUAAUGGACAUCGUUGUCUUCGGCCCAGCUCAAACCACCGCAGGCUGGGCCCCUGCUACCAGCCCCUCUUCUCCGCUCAGUUCCGAGGAAUCCUGGCUCCAACUUGGGGCUAAACCAAAAGCUUGGCAGCUGGUGGACUCAAACCUGAAACCUUCCGGACCAUAGGCCACUUCCUUAAGCACAAAGCCACCACUCGGUAAGUUUUUAAAGCUAUAAAUGGUCUUGCUCCAUGCUACAUCUCUGAUACACUGUCGCUUUAUACCCCUGUUCGAACCCUCAGAUUUGCUGCAGCCCAUUUGCUGAGAAUGCCAGAUCCUCCACC